CGCCAGACUCCUACGGGAGGCAGCAGUGGGGAAUAUUGCACAAUGGGGGAAACCCUGAUGCAGCGACGCCGCGUGAGUGAAGAAGUAUUUCGGUAUGUAAAGCUCUAUCAGCAGGGAGGAAAAUGACGGUACCUGACUAAGAAGCCCCGGCUAACUACGUGCCAGCAGCCGCGGUAAUACGUAGGGGGCAAGCGUUAUCCGGAUUUACUGGGUGUAAAGGGAGCGUAGACGGCAUGGCAAGUCAGAUGUGAAAGCCCGGGGCUCAACCCCGGGACUGCAUUUGAAACUGUCAGGCUGGAGUGCAGGAGAGGUAAGUGGAAUUCCUAGUGUAGCGGUGAAAUGCGUAGAUAUUAGGAGGAACACCAGUGGCGAAGGCGGCUUACUGGACUGUAACUGACGUUGAGGCUCGAAAGCGUGGGGAGCAAACAGGAUUAGAUACCCCCGUAUCC
rnacentral:rRNA from 1 species